ACAUUCAAGAAAAUGAUGAACAACGCGGAAGCUAAAUAAAAACUCAGAAUCAAAGAACUCAGACAAAACAAAUCAGAGACAAUGACUGAAACAGAAACACGAAUCAACACAAAAUAGAGAAGAACAAGACGAAAUCAAAAAUCAGAGAAGCAAUAUACUUAGCUUUGAAGCGUGCCUAACCCGAGGAAGAGAACCUAUGCUCUGAUUACCACUUGAUACGAGAUGCCUGAGGAACUGACCGAUUGGCGCGACGCGAACUCGAUCCAGAGGUUCCUCGAAGCUUCUCCGAUGAGAAGACGCAGCGGAAUGACGGUAAAGAAGCUCUAAAUCGAGCUGACUCGAAGGAAAUGGAAAAUGAACACAGUGAAACCCUAGAAAAGAGGGGAAACUGGAUUUAGACCGAUUAAACGGUGAGAAUCGAAGUUUAAUCGGUGGAAAAGGUUUGGUUUAGCUCAAAAGAGGUUUUAAUCGGUGGAUUUUGGAAAACAAACGGUGGAAAGGUGUUUAGACAAGGAAUCAAUGGUUAGAAAUGGUUGGAAAUGGUGAAAUGGAGGAGAAACGAAGAUUACUGUGUGGGAGGCGUUGUGAUCCGUGAGGCAGAGGCUCGUGAAAAGAGUUUCACCAAAGAAACCCUAAGCAGAGGCUGUAGCUUCGAAUGAAGCUAAUGAAUGAAAUGUGUAAUUGAUAAGCAGAGGUUGGAGUGGCCGUGACAGAUAAAGCCACGCGGCUGAAGUGUAUUGGUGUACGGUGGUGAUUAGGUGGAGGAGAGAGAAGUACGGUGGAUAAUUGGAAAUUGGAAAAUAAUGAAGUGUGCUUUGGAAGGAGGCUAGAGGUCUUUAGACUCUCUAGCCAAUGACUUUCAAGAGAGAAUAAUUUUCUGAAUUAGAAAAGUUUAUUCUCAUUAAGCUCAAAAGUGAUUACAAGAUGUGUUAGCAUGCCUAUAUAUAGGUCACAUGCCUAACACAAUACAAAGUACAUAAAAGAAAAACUAUACUAAAGACAUUGG
rnacentral:lncRNA from 1 species